rnacentral:lncRNA from 1 species
CUUUGAUGGUUCCUGAACUUUUAUAGUUCUAUGGACAUGUUGGAUGUUUCUGGCAAGAGAGAGAGGGUCACUGCUUCAGUACUUUCAGGAGGAGACAGAAGCCUGAGUUUCCCAUUUGACCUCCGUGGAUACUACACCGACAGCUGCUGAGUUGCUGAAGAAUGACUGUUGAGACUGAGCUCUUCACUACAAGGACUUAUCUGACAACCAGCCCUUGGGAUACAAAACUCUCUUCUCUUCCUGCACAGUUAUACAACUGUUAAGGACCACAAGAUUUAGAGCUCUCUGCAGUCAUACCAAGGAAAUGACAAACUUCAGAUCUCUGCAAACAAGAUCUCCACCAUCGGGAAUACUUCUUUCUUCAUUUUCUUGAACCAACG